ACCUACACACACGCACGCACAUCUCCUCAACUAGGAAGUUUCCCGUACACCCUGGAGAGAGCCAUCAGCCUUUUCCCUCUGCGCUUACUAUUCCUUUUCUCUUGCUCUCGCUUCCUUAUCCGUCCGCCUUUUCUGUGUGGCUGCGGGUCUUUGCCGUCUAUCGCCUUUAGUGUCGUCUUUCCGCCUGCACUUCGCUUUUUUUUUUGUUUGUUUCGUUCUCGGUCGCGGUGCGCAUACGCAUUUCCGUACUUCGUCUUCUGCACGGCAAGUGAGAGAGGUGCGCUUCAACGAAAUGACUACUGUGCUGAACCGCAGGUUCGAAGUGCUGUGCCACAGCGGCACGUGCCCGUCCUACCUGAUCGACGUCUUGUCUCUUCUCGUGGCACACGCCAACGAUACAGAGCUGUUCAAGACAGAGCUGCGUAAAGGUGAUGGAGGCGAGUUCGGCGCUGCCGCUACCGGUACAGGCAGUGUCCAUGCGACAUCUUCCACUGGCCCUUCCAGCCGCACUGACCGGGCGGUCGGUGAGACGCGCGAGCGGCAGGCGGCAGACCGGCGUACCCAACUCAUGUACAAACAAGUGGAGGACCCCGAGGCCCUCGACGACGCGCUGCGCGCGUCGCACGAGACGGUUCUCAUCGCCGCUGAGCGCAGUCUGCAGACGUACACGGAGGAUUUGAAGCACAUAAACGACAUUGCCAUCGCCACCUCCGCCAAGCAGCUGCGGGCGAUGCGGGUGGAGACGCAGCAGCAGAUGGAGGCGUUUCGCGACCGCGUCUGCGGCAGUGUCGUGGCGCAAACGAAGGAGGAAUUGGAGGUAAUACGCAGCGAACUGGCCGCAUCGGUUAGAGCUGAUGUGAGCGACAUGGUGCGGCAGCUGCAUCAGGUGAGCUUUAGCACCCAGCAGCAGCUUCAACAGUUGACGUCCUCCUACACUGACUUUGUGGCUCAGGCUCACGACGCGCUUGCCGUGGCCCCACUCGCGGAUGCCUACGAGGCCGUAAAGACGGUAGAGUACAUGCAGGAGCAGCUGAAGUGCAUAGAGGCGGCGGCGGCCACCAGGUCAGACAUGGAGACGCUGGAGGAGCGGCUGAAGGACUUGGAGAGCAUCAUGGCGACUCUGGGGUCGGCUGCAAGGACACCUGAUGCCGGCGCAGCCGCAGCGCCUCGCGAGGGCUUCUCCAUGAAUGUGCCCCCUCCUCUGCAGUUGUCGCAGCAAGAACUAGUGCCGUCCAAUCGGAGCGCCUCUCACCGCAGCCAAACGCCAAAGUCCACGUCACCACUGCCGUCGCACCUGCACGUGCCGCGAUCAGCCACUGCGAAGAGUCGGCCGUCAUCGUCAUCACCGGCGUUGCCGAGACCGCCAUCGCAGAGGACACUCGCGGAGCGUCUCGGCGUCACGGUGGAGGCUGUCGAGGACGGAGUGGUGCUCGCUGAAGUAUUGCCCGGAUCGGUGGCCGCUGCGCAUCGGCUGGGCGUUGGCCACAUCAUCUCUCACGUGGGCCGCACGGUUGUGAAGACCCCUGCUGCAUUUGAGGAAGCCCUCCGUGCGAUUGAGGGGCAGGCCGUGAAGAUCACCGCCUACGACCCCUUCAACGGUCGCGUUCGCGUACUCACAGCUCAGCCUUUUUGACGGUUGGCGUGGGCGUGGGUGCGGCGCUCACUGAGUCGCACAGCCACUAGAAUGUGCGCGUGUGUGACUGUCUACGUGGAGGAAGGGGCACGGUGUUUGCGUGUGUGCGUGCAUUCAUCCUCCUCGGUUGCCUGGAGCUAUUGUGUCCGCUUGAGCGAGUCUGGACAUUCGAUUUUUUUUUUGUCCCGCCUGGGCAUGACAGGGAAGGCGAGCAGACGCCGUGAUGCGCUCUUCUUAACGAAGGCGACAUGCAGACUUGAGGCGGCAGCUUUCUUUGCUGGCAGCGCUCCUCGAGCUGAAUCCAAUCUCAGCGCAGAUCACCGUGCGGAGUGCCCCGUGAGCGGUGGUGAUUACUCUACAGCUCCUUGUCAUGGGAGACAUGCUCACCGUUGUGGGUAAG
rnacentral:misc_RNA from 1 species